rnacentral:misc_RNA from 1 species
UUUCCGUAGGUGAACCUGCGGAAGGAUCAUUAAAGAGAAUAUGCCCUUCGGGGUAGAUCUCCCACCCUUUGUUUAUAUUACCUUUGUUGCUUUGGCAGGCCCGUCUUCGGACCACCGGCUUCGGCUGGUCAGUGCUUGCCAGAGGACCCAAAACUCUUAUUAUUAAUGUCAUCUGAGUACUAUAUAAUAGUUAAAACUUUCAACAACGGAUCUCUUGGUUCUG